GACGAACGCUGGCGGCGUGCUUAACACAUGCAAGUCGAACGGUGAACGAGGGAGCUUGCUCCCUCCGGAUCAGUGGCGAACGGGUGAGUAACACGUGAGCAAUCUGCCCCGAACUCUGGGAUAAGCGUUGGAAACGACGUCUAAUACCGGAUACGACGCGGGAGGGCAUCCUCUCCGCGUGGAAAGAACUUCGGUUCGGGAUGAGCUCGCGGCCUAUCAGCUUGUUGGUGAGGUAACGGCUCACCAAGGCGACGACGGGUAGCCGGCCUGAGAGGGUGACCGGCCACACUGGGACUGAGACACGGCCCAGACUCCUACGGGAGGCAGCAGUCGGGAAUAUUGCACAAUGGGCGCAAGCCUGAUGCAGCAACGCCGCGUGAGGGACGACGGCCUUCGGGUUGUAAACCUCUUUUAGCAGGGAAGAAGCGAAAGUGACGGUACCUGCAGAAAAAGCACCGGCUAACUACGUG
rnacentral:rRNA from 1 species